rnacentral:rRNA from 1 species
UCCUACGGGGGGCAGCAGUGAGGAAUAUUGGUCAAUGGUCGGGAGACUGAACCAGCCAAGCCGCGUGAGGGAUGAGGGUACAGAGUAUCGUAAACCUCUUUUGUCAGGGAACAAAGGCGGGGACGUGUCCCCGGAUGAGUGUACCUGAAGAAAAAGCAUCGGCUAACUCCGUGCCAGCAGCCGCGGUAAUACGGAGGAUGCGAGCGUUAUCCGGAUUUAUUGGGUUUAAAGGGUGCGCAGGCGGUCUGUUAAGUCAGCGGUCAAAGCCCGGGGCUCAACCCCGGCCCGCCGUUGAAACUGGCAGG